rnacentral:rRNA from 1 species
CGGCGGCAUUUAGCUAGUUGGGUGAAAGGUAACGGCUCCACCCAAGGCGACGAUGCGUAGCCCGACCCUGAGAGGGGUGAUCGGCCCACACUGGGGACUGAGACACGGCCCCAGACUCCCUACGGGGAGGGCAGCAGUAGGGAAUCUUCCACAAUGGGCGGAAGCCUGAUGGAGCAACGCCGCGUGAGUGAAGAAGGUUUUCGGAUCGUAAAACUCUGUUGUAAGGGAAGAACAAGUACAGUAGUAACUGGCUGUACCUUGACGGUACCUUAUUAGAAAGCCACGGCUAACUACGUGCCAGCAGCCGCGGUAAUACGUAGGUGGCAAGCGUUGUCCGGAAUUAUUGGGCGUAAAGCGCGCGCAGGCGGUCCUUUAAGUCUGAUGUGAAAGCCCACGGCUCAACCGUGGAGGGUCAUUGGAAACUGGGGGACUUGAGUGCAGAAGAGGAAAGUGGAAUUCCAAGUGUAGCGGUGAAAUGCGUAGAGAUUUGGAGGAACACCAGUGGCGAAGGCGACUUUCUGGUCUGUAACUGACGCUGAGGCGCGAAAGCGUGGGGAGCAAACAGGAUUAGAUACCCUGGUAGUCCACGCCGUAAACGAUGAGUGCUAAGUGUUAGGGGGUUUCCGCCCUCUUAGUGCUGCAGCUAACGCAUUAAGCCACUUCCGCCUGGGGAGUACGGUCGCAAGA